rnacentral:rRNA from 1 species
CGACGUGAGGAACCUGCCUUUCAGAGGGGGACAACAGUUGGAAACGACUGCUAAUACCGCAUAAUAUAUGUUUGUCGCAUGGCAGAUAUAUCAAAGAUUUAUCGCUGAGAGAUGGCCUCGCGUCUGAUUAGCUAGUUGGUAGGGUAACGGCCUACCAAGGCGACGAUCAGUAGCCGGCCUGAGAGGGUGAACGGCCACAUUGGGACUGAGACACGGCCCAAACUCCUACGGGAGGCAGCAG